AGGAAGGAAGGAAGGAGGGAAAGGAAGAAAGGAAAGAAUGUUCCGUCUUCGGGAUCGCCUGCGAGGGGAUGGCUGUCUUCCUGCUUUCUCCAUCUUCUUUUCUCUUCUCUUCUCUUCUCUUCUCACCUCAUCUCUCUGGUCGACAAAAAAACG
rnacentral:ribozyme from 11 species